rnacentral:tRNA from 1 species
UGCACUGGUAGCUCAGCAUCAGAGCGCCGGCCUUGUAAGCCGGUGGCCGGAGGUUAAAAUCCCCCCCAUUGCUC